rnacentral:rRNA from 1 species
UACGUAGGGGGCAAGCGUUGUCCGGAUUUAUUGGGCGUAAAGAGCGUGUAGGCGGCCUUACAGGUCAGCUGUGAAAACUCGAGGCUCAACCUCGAGACGUCGGUUGAAACCGUAUGGCUAGAGUCCGGAAGAGGAGAGUGGAAUUCCUGGUGUAGCGGUGAAAUGCGCAGAUAUCAGGAAGAACACCCGUGGCGAAGGCGGCUCUCUGGGACGGUACUGACGCUGAGACGCGAAAGCGUGGGGAGCAAACAGG